GAUGAACGCUAGCGGCAGGCCUAACACAUGCAAGUCGAGGGGUAGAACACUUCGGUGUUUGAGACCGGCGCACGGGUGCGUAACGCGUAUGCAAUCUGCCUUGUACAGGGGAAUAGCCCAGAGAAAUUUGGAUUAAUGCCCCAUAGUAUAUAACCUUCGCAUGUUGGUUAUAUUAAAGUUCCAACGGUACAAGAUGAGCAUGCGUCCCAUUAGUUAGUUGGUAAGGUAACGGCUUACCAAGACGAUGAUGGGUAGGGGUCCUGAGAGGGAGAUCCCCCACACUGGUACUGAGACACGGACCAGACUCCUACGGGAGGCAGCAGUGGGGAAUAUUGGUCAAUGGUCGCAAGACUGAACCAGCCAUGCCGCGUGCAGGAAGACGGUCCUAUGGAUUGUAAACUGCUUUUAUACAGGAAGGAACCCUCCCACGUGUGGGAGCUUGACGGUACUGUAGGAAUAAGGAUCGGCUAACUCCGUGCCAGCCGCCGCGGUAACAC
rnacentral:rRNA from 1 species